rnacentral:rRNA from 1 species
GAUGAACGCUAGCGGCAGGCUUAAUACAUGCAAGUCGAGGGGCAGCAGCUUUGUAGCAAUACAGGGGCUGGCGACCGGCAAACGGGUGCGGAACACGUACGCAACCUUCCUUUAACUGGAAGAUAGCCCACCGAAAGGUGGAUUAAAUACUCCAUAACAUAUUGAAGAGGCAUCUCUUUGAUAUUAAAGCUCCGGCGGUUAAAGAUGGGCGUGCGUCUGAUUAGGUAGUUGGCGGGGUAACGCCCACCAAGCCUUCGAUCAGUAGCUGAUGUGAGAGCAUGAUCAGCCACACGGGCACUGAGACACGGGCCCGACUCCUACGGGAGGCAGCAGUAAGGAAUAUUGGUCAAUGGGCGGAAGCCUGAACCAGCCAUGCCGCGUGC